rnacentral:lncRNA from 1 species
CUGAGCCAAAUGACAAAAUCUAUGUCAAAGUGGUCCAGCAGGUCCAUACUGAGAGAGCAUGUCAAAGAGCAGCAGCUCAGGCUCCACACCAGGCUGGAGGUCCUCUUAGAAGAGCAGGUCCCAGCACAGGGGGAAGACCUUCCCCUGCCGUGUGCCCCCGCUCUGUCUCCAACACCCAGGCUGGAUGUAAACGCAAGGCCUUGGAGGAAGGGAAACCAACAGCAGUGCAGCUGCCUUCCAAUAAGAGAGUGAGGGGGCCGAGUGGAGACAGCGUGCCGGCUCCAGCAGCACACCCUGGGCCUGCUGCAGCGCGGAGCUCCAAGCAAAGAGGUGAGAAGGUGCUGUGGUACCCGCCGUGCUGAGGCGCUUCCCUGUGCGAGCACACUGAGUUUGCUUAGGGUUGGCUUUGCUUUUUCCUUCUCCAUGGAGGGGAAAAGAGUGGAAGGCUACAAAGUCCAAAGGCAGUGAGGUGCCCGAACGUGUAACCCUGUCUCUUCCCGUUAACUCUAUGGCAGUCUUCUGCACGCCUCCUGGAAAUGUCAUUCACUGGGAGGCUUCCUAGUCCCAUUUCCUCCGUCUUUUUGCUGCCUUCUGCUUGUACGGCACCCAUGUUUCUGCCAUUUCACUGUAGACAAAAUGCAUUCAUCUAUUUUUCUUGCCUUACAGAAAGAAGACGACAACGAAAAGAGAGGAGAGUGGAGCUGAAGAAGGCUGCCCUCAGAGCUGCUGCUGCACGUGCAGAG